AUUGGGAAAUGAGCGACACCUGCUCCACUCACCGGUCUCGAGUCCCACGGAGGAGAUCGGAAGGAUACAAAAGAGGAGCGACGACAGUGAAGGACGAGAGAGGACCAGGGGGGUGUUCCAUAAAAGCCGCUUAGAAAAGCGGGGAUUAAAGUCCAAAACCUGACUUGAAUGAGCCGAGCUAAACAUCCGCGCUUAAAUUGGUUCCAUAACAGUAAGUUGAGGAUCAUGUGAUCUUACUAAUUUGAGUCAGGUUUAAAUAGUCUAGAUAAUUGCGCGUGCACGCCAUUGUUUAAAAGUCCUGAAAAGUCGAGCAUGGGUCAAUCGAUUUACUGUGGGCUACCAUGGCAACAAAAGGAAAAGAUAGAGCAGCGAUGUUCACGGCAACGGAACAGCGUUUGCUAUUGGAAACAUAUGAAGAAUUUAAAGAUGUCAUCACCAAAAAAGGAAAUAGAGCGGCAAUAAAUAAAGCAAGAGAGAAAGGUUGGCAGGAAAUUGCUGAUCGUCUCAAUGCGUAAGGAGCGGUGUAAGCUAUUUAAAAUACUUUAUCAACAUUGAAUGUGUGUCACAAUAUAUUGCAAAGUUUGUGUGUGAAUACCAGUAACGUUAAUUGCUUUCACGCAGCAGCAACUUAAGUGAAGGAAAAAGAACCUGGCAGCAGGUGAAAAUAAAAUAUAAAAAUAUAGUUCAGAAUGCAACCAAAAAGACUGAGGUUGCUGGCACUGGGGGAGGGCCACCACUAGCCAGCUUCACUCCUGCAGAGGAGCUGGCUUUGGAAAUUAAUAAAGGGAGGCCCGUCCUUGAGGGAAUAGAGGGGGGGUACAUCAUCUAAAAUUAUAUCACGUAGUAUAAGGAGUGAGUAUAUAAAGUGUGUUUUAUUAUCAUUAUUCCUUCCUGACUAACUGAUUUCCUCCUUCCUUAGGCAUUGUAAGCCUAAGUACAUCAUAGCAGUAAUGUCACGUAGAGGUACUUGUGCUACUGUAAUGGUGCAUUUUGGUAAAAAAAAAAUAUAUUUUUUUUUCUAUCAAGAUUCUGUAUGCUUUAUGGAUCCACCAGACAUCAUGUUGCCUGUGAGUAUGAGACCUUUUAAAUCAGUCAUGUAAGCUAAUGAGUUUAACUGAGUUUAAUCAGUUGUCACAGGGAGAAGGCCCAUCAGUUGAGGAGGAUGAGGAGACUGUCUGUAUGUUCAAGGAGGCCUGCGGUAGUCACAGGUUCCAUGUGAUACUGUAUUGAAUAUUAAAAAGUGUACUUGUGUGAUAAAAUGAUCAUAAUGUGUUUUCAGGAUGCUGACUGUUCUAGAGCCCCCUCAGUCUGGGACCACAUGUGACAAAAAUCCAGAAAACAUAAAAGGAGUGUAUAAACGCUACCUCCUUAAACAAAUGGAAGCGAUUGAUAUCGACACUCAGUAUAAAAAAACUGAAGAUGAGGAAGUUGGAGCUGGAAAUUCAACCGCUACAGAAAAAUGCAAGUAGAACUACCAUUUUUAGAAAGGGGAAAAAAUUACCUUUUUGAUCACUUUCCACAACAUUUAUUUGUGUUUUCACCCCUAACAGGCAGAUUCACUCUGAAUAAAGACAAAUCACAUUAAAUACUUUGACUUCUGUGUGUUUGUUCAACUACGGAGAAAGUUGAG